GACAGAGGUCCCGAGCGUUAGGCGGAAUCACUGGGCUUAAAGCGUGUGUAGGCGGAUCGUUAAGUACCUUGUGAAAUCCCACGGCUUAACCGUGGAACUGCUUGGUAUACUGGCGAUCUUGAGCCACUUAGGGGCUACCGGAACAAAUGGUGGAGCGGUGAAAUGCGUAGAGAUCGGAAAGAACACCAACGGCGAAAGCACUCUGCUGGGCCGACACUGACACUGAGAGACGAAAGCUAGGGGAGCAAAUGGG
rnacentral:rRNA from 1 species